CAGCUGUCUGCGUGCCUUGAGCGCUCUGAGCCUCCUUUGGGGCACCUGGGAUGUCUGUGGUUGGAUGAGAUAUUCGAAUUUUGUGGGGAAAAGAAAACUUCUGCAGAUGUUCUCACCUGUUUUUCCUGAACCUUGUGAGCAGUGCAUCUCUCUGAGGAAGAGCCCUGGCUCGAUACCUGCAUUAAGGGGUAGCAACACUCACUGAUGGGAACAGAGCUCUGAGUCUAACAGGAGCGGCUGCAGCGGGAGUUGUCCUUCCUGCUGCCCUGAGCUGCAGCUGGACCUCGUUGCUUGUAUCAUCGACUGCAGCAGAUGCGUCGUCUUGCUCUGGGUUCCAUCACACAGUGAAGUGGAAGCGGCACAGAGCAGCCCUGCAUCACCUCCUGGCAACCAAAGCCCUCGCUUGGCAGAUUCUGUGGAAAGCAUCAGGCCAGGCAAAAACAAUGGAUACGGAGUGAGAGGUUUCGCGUUUGUCACUGGCAUUAAAUCGUGGGUGCCUGAUGAAUGAACGUUGUACAGACAUUGAGGGCAAUAGCUAACUCCCUUACGUGGAUGAUUAAGGAAAUAAUUGGAGCAGGGAGGUAGAGAAAUGCAAGUCCAAAGAGCCUAUUAAAGUCGAGAUAGAGUGAGCAACUCCUUGUGAUCGAUCUAAACUCGGGGGAAAAAAACUACUGAGGUACUCUGUUCAUCCAAGCCCCAGGUUUCCUAGGAGAUGGAAGACAGUUCAGAUAUGGCCAACGACUGGGCUCUUAGUGCUCAGCUAAAAUAACUUUCCCUGCCAGUCCCCAGAUGCCCCGGGCUUCUCCUCAGCUCCGCGAUAAUGAACAGACACCCAGCAGACAAGCAGGCAGCGCUGCUCCUGGAGGUGGCUCAGUGCGUCGGAUCCAGGUGUGACCUGAGAUUCAAUUACAGAACUGUGGAAGCUUAGGGGGAAAGCUGUGUGGUAUGCAACUUCUUUGGCAUGCUCUCUUUUGCUUUAAUCUCUCCAAGCUGGUGAGUCUGUGGAGAUCUUAAUUAAAGUCAGCGCAAGUCGUUCUGAAGACAGAGCCCUGUGGAGUGCUGGAUCUGCUGCUCAGUCUGGCCCAUGAGCCGCUCUCCUCUCCAUGCGCUUUCCUCCGCUUCCUGUGACCGAUCCUUGGAGAUGGCAGUGGAAUCAAAACAUGAAUUAACUCCUGGAUGGCCUCCAGCAGAGCAGGGUCUGUGCCAGGCAUUAGGGCCAGGCGUCAGGGUGCCACGUGCAGGCUGUGCCUGCCCCGUGGCUGAGGGAGAAGGCUGCAUCCGUCAGAAUCCAUCCUCAGUGCCCGUGGGCAGCUGGCUGCAGCCAGCCUCAGCCCUAGUGGAGCCUCUGGCUUUGGGAGAUGCAAUGCAAGCUCUGCCUGCGGGGCUCUGUGUGCCCGGAUCACUGUUCCGAGGCCUCGAGCAAAGCAAGAGCUGUAAGAGAGGGAAUGUGACCUCAGGAGAGUGAUUAAUAAUAAAAGCGAAGGCAGACAGCCCUGUGAUAGGGCAGGGAACUGGAGAUGGCAGCGUGUGGAGGGCGGCAGCUCAUGUUUGAGAGAAAGCAAAACCUGCAGACAUAGAAAGGAUUUAGAGGGGCACUGUGAUAGCAGUGAGGCUUCUCCAACAUUGUCAGCAAAAAGUGCCUCAGACACAAAAGCAGAGGCACGUUUCCCCUCCCUGUACUGCUUUUCUGCUCCUCUGCCAGCACCAGCCACUAAAUUAUCCCACUCCCUCCUGUUACUGGUUAUUGAGUGUUUGGAUAAGAUGGAAUCAAAUUAUAUGCAUGUUCAAAGAGGGAAGAUAAAACCAGACUGCAGCAUAUUUUAUGGCUUUUAUAAAAUUUUGAUGUAUGUUGUUGGAAUAGAUGGGAAGCCACCACCACAGCUUGAGGGCAGAGCUCCUCUUUGAGAACCUCACCGCUGAAUUAAUGCAAGCAAAUAGUAGACAGCAACCAUGUGUGGAUGAGAUUGGAAAAAUAAAUGUUUUUUUUUUAUGCUUGGACUGCCAAGGAAGGGAGGCCCCUGAUCACAAAGUCCUGAUUUUGGCACAGCUCUAAGGUUUUACCUUUGGUGUGUAGUUCGAGUAUGAACAGUUUCUCAUCGACAACUGGAAAGGCAGAGAAAUGGGGAAGAGCAGCACUGGGCAGCAAAGCAAGCAGCUCAGCUGUGUGGCAUUUGGGUGUGCGUGCAGGUUCUUAAGUGUAAGCUUAAUACGUGCUUCUUGUAGAACACGGUUUUCCUUUGGGACUGACGCUGCCUUAAUUCUGUUGUCAGCUGUCAGCUGUAAUUAUUUUGUCUGUCCGUCUGCCCAGAGAUCUCCUGGAGCACCAGGUCGGAACGGAGGAGCACCCUUGCACUUUGAGGCAGUUAUUUAUGGCCUAGGAUUCAUCCGAGUAGAGAAGCCCCCCAGAAUGCCAAUUCUUCUCGUGUUACUCAGCCCAAACAAGCAGGAGGGCAGGACAAGGCUGCUCUGUCAGGAGUGUGCUGGUGAGCUCUGCUCGGGGGCAGCCGUACCCCGCAGGCUGGGCGCAGCUCUGUGUGCAGCUGUGUCCUGCCUGGGUGAGCAGCUGAUACACCAAACACGAACCCACAGCUGCAUGCUAAGAGCUUCCCAGUGAAUGAGUCUGAUUUCUUUUAUGGAUUCAGCAUUAAUCCGCUGGUGUUAUUUACAUAUCUGUGUGAUGUGACAUGGCUUUGAGUCUAGCAUGACUCCUUUCAUUAAAAGCCUACAAUUACCUCCAGAUAACCUUCUUUAUUCCAUCCUUUUCUUCAUGACUUUGACAUUCUUGUCUGGCGUGCUUCAAGCUUCACUUGGGUUUUGAGGAAACAAGUCUUUGUGCCUCUGUGUAAUGACUGCAGCAUAUUAGUAUUCCACGUACGUGCACCAGUUUGCAGCUGUAUCAUUACAGGUAGUGUCGAAUAAAAACCCUUUGACUCAUUGCAACCUUGCAGGCAUUUUGUUCCUCACAGCUGGUCUCCUGUCCUUAACAGCUCCAUGUGAGGAACGCUCUUCUCACGCUGUGGUCUGCAGCCUUUAUUUGUGUCGUGGCAGGCUGGUGCCAUCGGGCUGCUGGGAUCUCAAGGCUGGCAAACUGCGGCUUCCUGCGCUGCUCCCCAAGUGCUCGUGUGUAAUAACUCAAUCUCCAGCACGUCGUGGGGAAUAUAUUUUGUGCCUAAUGAGAUACAUAUGUCCAAUAUUCAAUGUACCUGAGUAUCAUCCUACUUAAACCACUUUGGGCACCAUGAGGAAUAAAAUCAUCAUAUUUUGCGUCUCUACUGUAAAUUGCCUGGGCACCAACCUAUAAACAGGCAUUAAUGUAUCUAAUGUGAGUGCUUGCAUCUUGUCAUUAUACGUGCACUUAUUCCUACACAAUGUGUGCACGUUCAGUUGUGCUGUUGUUCUAAGAAAUAGUACUGUUAUGGGCUCAUACAGAUUUGUUAAGCUGCUCCUUUCAGGAAAACAACUGGAAAUAAAAUGUUUGAGGAUGUGUUCAAACUCCUGGAAAGCAACAAGAGCUACAACUGCAUUGCAGUCUGGAGGCAGCAGAAGAGCACGUGCAUGAUUUCUCUUAUACUGACACGUAUGUGAGCCACCUCAUCAGCUCUGCGAGAGUUUUGAAGAUAGAUUUCUUCUGAAUGUAUUUCCAACUCUAAGCUAACGGUGCAGCUGUCUGCAUCAUCUCCAUCCCUGUAGGAGAAAUGUGACUGCUUCCAUGUGAGGUUAGUGGGAAUUGUGGGGAUUUGCCACAUUACAUUAUGCAACUCUUGUGGUGGUUUUAAUGAAUAGAUUCCAGAGAAAGCUGUUGUUAAUUAAGCUGCAAUAUGGCUUGGUCAGCUAGCAAUGAGGAGAUGCUAACUGGAGCUGAAGGACCCAUCUGUGGAGCUCUUUCAGAACCGCUGCUCAGUUGUCAUUGUGCAGCAGAGGGAAUCUUUGGCAGCAAUUCAGUGCAUUCCUGUGCCAGAAAGGUGCCUUUGGAAGACAGAAAUAAAUGGGAAGCAUGGGGAUGCAUUGUGAUGCUUGCCACAGGUAGGUAGCAUGGGGACAAGGCACAGUACUGUGUAUCAGUCUUAGGUGUGAAUAGAUGAAAAGAUUCAAGCAUAUGGUAAGCUAUUCUCCAUAUGAAUAACAGCUUCUAAUUGGCUCGACACUUCUCUAAUAACCUUGGCAGCCUCUUUCUUCAUAAUUAACGUCUUCAUUCAGCUGCUUGGUAAGGUGCAGUGUGUAUGUUUGGGCUCAGAGCAGCUCAGCCGUGCAGUCAGCCUGGGGUGAGGUCAGUGCAGCCUGCA